AAGUACUCAGGAAAUGUUCCCUGAGUACAGCCACCACCACCCAGAAAAUCGGCUACUCACACAUUGAGUCCUACAUUGAUGUCAACAAGAGCAUUCACAAUUUCAAUGAAGUCAGUGUUUAAUUUUAUGAAAAUUACUGUGAACAUGCAGAGCCAAGAGUUACUGGUUAAAAGUGCUGCUCCCAAAGCUGUUAAUAGAAAAGUUAUUGUAUAGCUGGUGCUGGUUCAUUCAGUUUAUCUGAUGGCUUUGCUAUGAUUUUUGAAUACAGAUAUGCCAAUAAAAAUUUUAAAACCAUGAUGGCCAGGGACGAUCAGUUUAAAUGAUUCUACUGUCAAUUUUGUAUAAAACUAUUUCAGCAAGCAGUCCUUGCAAUGCUUUUUGAAACUAUUAAUUUUUUUAAAAAUGCAAAAGGGACAAAAGAGGUUUAUUUGAUUCUUAUUAACAAAAUUUCAAAUGAAAUAUUGCAUUAUUAUUGUGCUGCCCUUAGUUUUACUGGAAUGAAAUUAUUAUAGGUCAAUGUCAGUUUUUUGUUUGGGUUUGGUGCUGGGGAACAAAUCCAGG